GACGAACGCUGGCGGCGUGCCUAAUACAUGCAAGUUGAGCGCUGAAGGUUGGUACUUGUACCAACUGGAUGAGCAGCGAACGGGUGAGUAACGCGUGGGGAAUCUGCCUUUGAGCGGGGGACAACAUUUGGAAACGAAUGCUAAUACCGCGUAAAAACUUUAAACACAAGUUUUAAGUUUGAAAGACGCAAUUGCAUCACUCAAAGAUGAUCCCGCGUUGUAUUAGCUAGUUGGUGAGGUAAAGGCUCACCAAGGCGAUGAUACAUAGCCGACCUGAGAGGGUGAUCGGCCACAUUGGGACUGAGACACGGCCCAAACUCCUACGGGAGGCAGCAGUAGGGAAUCUUCGGCAAUGGACGAAAGUCUGACCGAGCAACGCCGCGUGAGUGAAGAAGGUUUUCGGAUCGUAAAACUCUGUUGGUAGAGAAGAACGUUGGUGAGAGUGGAAAGCUCAUCAAGUGACGGUAACUACCCAGAAAGGGACGGCUAACUACGUG
rnacentral:rRNA from 1 species